ACGGGAGGCAGCAGUGGGGGAUAUUGCACAAUGGAGGAAACUCUGAUGCAGCAACGCCGCGUGAAGGAAGAAGGUCUUCGGAUUGUAAACUUCUGUUCUUGGUGAAGAAACAAAUGACGGUAGCCAAGGAGAAAGCCACGGCUAACUACGUGCCAGCAGCCGCGGUAAUACGUAGGUGGCGAGCGUUGUCCGGAAUUACUGGGUGUAAAGGGUGCGCAGGCGGGACUGCAAGUUGGAUGUGAAAUCCCGGAGCUUAACUCCGGAACUGCAUCCAAAACUGUGGUUCUUGAGUGAAGUAGAGGUAGGCGGAAUUCCGAGUGUAGCGGUGAAAUGCGUAGAUAUUCGGAGGAACACCAGUGGCGAAGGCGGCCUACUGGGCUUUAACUGACGCUGAGGCACGAAAGUAUGGGGAGCAAACAGGAUUAGAUACCCUGGUA
rnacentral:rRNA from 1 species